rnacentral:tRNA from 1 species
GCACCCGUAGCUCAGCUGGAUAGAGCGCUGCCCUCCGAAGGCAGAGGUCAAGCCCCUAAAUCGCGCUUCAAGUUCUUCA